rnacentral:rRNA from 1 species
UAAGGGCGCACGGUGGAUGCCUUGGCACUAGAAGCCGAUGAAGGACGUUACUAACGACGAUAUGCUUUGGGGAGCUGUAAGUAAGCUUUGAUCCAGAGAUUUCCGAAUGGGGAAACCCAGCAUGAGUUAUGUCAUGUUAUCGAUAUGUGAAUACAUAGCAUAUCAGAAGGCACACCCGGAGAACUGAAACAUCUUAGUACCCGGAGGAAGAGAAAGAAAAUUCGAUUCCCUUAGUAGCGGCGAGCGAAACGGGAAGAGCCCAAACCAACAAGCUUGCUUGUUGGGGUUGUAGGACACUCUAUACGGAGUUACAAAGGACGACAUUAGACGAAUCAUCUGGAAAGAUGAAUCAAAGAAGGUAAUAAUCCUGUAGUCGAAAAUGUUGUCUCUCUUGAGUGGAUCCUGAGUACGACGGAGCACGUGAAAUUCCGUCGGAAUCUGGGAGGACCAUCUCCUAAGGCUAAACACUCUCUAGUGACCGAUAGUGAACCAGUACCGUGAGGGAAAGGUGAAAAGCACCCCGGAAGGGGAGUGAAAUAGAACCUGAAACCGUGUGCUUACAAGUAGUCAGAGCCCGUUAAUGGGUGAUGGCGUGCCUUUUGUAGAAUGAACCGGCGAGUUACGAUUUGAUGCAAGGUUAAGCAGUAAAUGUGGAGCCGUAGCGAAAGCGAGUCUGAAUAGGGCGUUUAGUAUUUGGUCGUAGACCCGAAACCAGGUGAUCUACCCUUGGUCAGGUUGAAGUUCAGGUAACACUGAAUGGAGGACCGAACCGACUUACGUUGAAAAGUGAGCGGAUGAACUGAGGGUAGCGGAGAAAUUCCAAUCGAACCUGGAGAUAGCUGGUUCUCUCCGAAAUAGCUUUAGGGCUAGCCUCAAGUGAUGAUUAUUGGAGGUAGAGCACUGUUUGGACGAGGGGCCCCUCUCGGGUUACCGAAUUCAGACAAACUCCGAAUGCCAAUUAAUUUAACUUGGGAGUCAGAACAUGGGUGAUAAGGUCCGUGUUCGAAAGGGAAACAGCCCAGACCACCAGCUAAGGUCCCAAAAUAUAUGUUAAGUGGAAAAGGAUGUGGCGUUGCCCAGACAACUAGGAUGUUGGCUUAGAAGCAGCCAUCAUUUAAAGAGUGCGUAAUAGCUCACUAGUCGAGUGACACUGCGCCGAAAAUGUACCGGGGCUAAACAUAUUACCGAAGCUGUGGAUUGUCCUUUGGACAAUGGUAGGAGAGCGUUCUAAGGGCGUUGAAGCAUGAUCGUAAGGACAUGUGGAGCGCUUAGAAGUGAGAAUGCCGGUGUGAGUAGCGAAAGACGGGUGAGAAUCCCGUCCACCGAUUGACUAAGGUUUCCAGAGGAAGGCUCGUCCGCUCUGGGUUAGUCGGGUCCUAAGCUGAGGCCGACAGGCGUAGGCGAUGGAUAACAGGUUGAUAUUCCUGUACCACCUAUAAUCGUUUUAAUCGAUGGGGGGACGCAGUAGGAUAGGCGAAGCGUGCGAUUGGAUUGCACGUCUAAGCAGUAAGGCUGAGUAUUAGGCAAAUCCGGUACUCGUUAAGGCUGAGCUGUGAUGGGGAGAAGACAUUGUGUCUUCGAGUCGUUGAUUUCACACUGCCGAGAAAAGCCUCUAGAUAGAAAAUAGGUGCCCGUACCGCAAACCGACACAGGUAGUCAAGAUGAGAAUUCUAAGGUGAGCGAGCGAACUCUCGUUAAGGAACUCGGCAAAAUGACCCCGUAACUUCGGGAGAAGGGGUGCUCUUUAGGGUUAACGCCCAGAAGAGCCGCAGUGAAUAGGCCCAAGCGACUGUUUAUCAAAAACACAGGUCUCUGCUAAACCGUAAGGUGAUGUAUAGGGGCUGACGCCUGCCCGGUGCUGGAAGGUUAAGAGGAGUGGUUAGCUUCUGCGAAGCUACGAAUCGAAGCCCCAGUAAACGGCGGCCGUAACUAUAACGGUCCUAAGGUAGCGAAAUUCCUUGUCGGGUAAGUUCCGACCCGCACGAAAGGCGUAACGAUUUGGGCACUGUCUCAACGAGAGACUCGGUGAAAUCAUAGUACCUGUGAAGAUGCAGGUUACCCGCGACAGGACGGAAAGACCCCGUGGAGCUUUACUGUAGCCUGAUAUUGAAAUUCGGCACAGCUUGUACAGGAUAGGUAGGAGCCUUUGAAACGUGAGCGCUAGCUUACGUGGAGGCGCUGGUGGGAUACUACCCUAGCUGUGUUGGCUUUCUAACCCGCACCACUUAUCGUGGUGGGAGACAGUGUCAGGCGGGCAGUUUGACUGGGGCGGUCGCCUCCUAAAAGGUAACGGAGGCGCUCAAAGGUUCCCUCAGAAUGGUUGGAAAUCAUUCAUAGAGUGUAAAGGCAUAAGGGAGCUUGACUGCGAGACCUACAAGUCGAGCAGGGUCGAAAGACGGACUUAGUGAUCCGGUGGUUCCGCAUGGAAGGGCCAUCGCUCAACGGAUAAAAGCUACCCCGGGGAUAACAGGCUUAUCUCCCCCAAGAGUUCACAUCGACGGGGAGGUUUGGCACCUCGAUGUCGGCUCAUCGCAUCCUGGGGCUGUAGUCGGUCCCAAGGGUUGGGCUGUUCGCCCAUUAAAGCGGUACGCGAGCUGGGUUCAGAACGUCGUGAGACAGUUCGGUCCCUAUCCGUCGUGGGCGUAGGAAAUUUGAGAGGAGCUGUCCUUAGUACGAGAGGACCGGGAUGGACAUACCUCUGGUGUACCAGUUGUCGUGCCAACGGCAUAGCUGGGUAGCUAUGUGUGGACGGGAUAAGUGCUGAAAGCAUCUAAGCAUGAAGCCCCCCUCAAGAUGAGAUUUCCCAACUUCGGUUAUAAGAUCCCU